rnacentral:rRNA from 1 species
UACGUAGGGUGCAAGCGUUGUCCGGAAUUAUUGGGCGUAAAGAGCUCGUAGGUGGCGUGUCGCGUCUGCCGUGAAAGCCCAUGGCUUAACUGUGGGUCUGCGGUGGAUACGGGCAGGCUGGAGGCUGGUAGGGGCAAGCGGAAUUCCUGGUGUAGCGGUGAAAUGCGCAGAUAUCAGGAGGAACACCGGUGGCGAAGGCGGCUUGCUGGGCCAGUUCUGACGCUGAGGAGCGAAAGCGUGGGGGAGCGAACAGG